UCCAUAUGUGUCAAUCAAUGGCUUUCUCUCCCAUCCCAUCCUCCAUAUCGUGGUAACGGGGCCUCGGUUCCCCUUCCCUCACUAAGUGAUUGAAAACCUUCCCUUCCUCCACAUAGGAAUCCGAGAAAGGGAACAUAGUGACUAUGGUAAGUCUUCGUUGGGAACAAGCCUGAACUCAAAGUCCUUCACGCCAAAAGAGAAAGAACCUUGGAUUAGAUGCUCCCCGAGCUACCUGGUACUAAGUCCUUCCCCUAAACGCUCCCUGGUCGCUAAGC
rnacentral:lncRNA from 1 species